ensembl:miRNA gga-mir-7454 gga-mir-7454
UUCUGUGAGACAAACUGAAGUGCUACACACUUUCCAGCUUGCGAAAGCAGACAG